UACAGAGGGUGCAAGCGUUAAUCGGAAUUACUGGGCGUAAAGCGUGCGCAGAUGGUUACGUAAGUCGGGUGUGAAAGCCCCGGGCUCAACCUGGGAAUUGCAUUCGAGACUGCGUAGCUAGGGUGCGGAAGAGGGAAGCGGAAUUUCCGGUGUAGCGGUGAAAUGCGUAGAUAUCAGGAGGAACACCGGUGGUGUAAACGGCUUUCUGGACCGUAACUGACGCUGAUGCACGAAAGCGUGGGUAGCAAACAGG
rnacentral:rRNA from 1 species